GCUCGAUUCGUCUAACGGUUAGGACAGGAGAUUCUCAUUCUCCAAAUAGGGGUUCGAUUCCCCUAUCGAGUA
rnacentral:tRNA from 1 species